AACAACUGGAAUCUGCUGCAGAUCCACAGACUCUACCUGGGUGUCCAUCACAUAAGCUAGAUAGCCUUGACACCCCUUUCUCAGCAGCCUCUUUGCUUUUACUGCAGACACCAAAUUCAUUGGGAUCUCACUCCUGUCCCCUUGAUAUGUAAAUUUCCCCUUAUCUAAAGGUCUGAAGAUAACACUCUUUUCUUGGCAGUUAAUGGUGGCACGAUUGUCU
rnacentral:lncRNA from 1 species